rnacentral:rRNA from 1 species
UAGUCCAUGCCGUAAACGAUGGAUACUAGUCGUCGGGACACCUAAUUGUUUCGGUGACGUCGCUAACGCUUUAAGUAUCCCGCCUGGGGAGUACGGUCGCAAGAUUAAAACUCAAAGGAAUUGACGGGGGCCCGCACAAGCGGUGGAGCAUGUGGUUUAAUUCGAUGCUACGCGAAGAACCUUACCUAGAUUUGACAUCCUGUGCUACCCUGUGAAAGCAGGGGUUCCUUCGGGACGCAGUGACAGGUGCUGCAUGGCUGUCGUCAGCUCGUGUUGUGAGAUGUUGGGUUAAGUCCCGCAACGAGCGCAACCCCCGUCGUUAGUUACCAUCAUUAAGUUGGGCACUCUAACGAUACCGCUAGGCUAUAAGCCAGAGGAAGGUGGGGAUGACGUCAAGUCCUCAUGGCCUUUAUAUCUAGGGCUACACACGUGCUACAAUGGUCGUGACAAAGAGUUGCUAGUCUGCGAAGGCAAGCCAAUCUCAUAAACGCGGCCUUAGUUCGGAUUGCAGG